UACGGAAGGCAGCAGUGGGGAAUAUUGCACAAUGGGCGCAAGCCUGAUGCAGCCAUGCCGCGUGUAUGAAGAAGGGCCUUCGGGUUGUAAAGUACUUUCAGCGGGGAGGAAGGCGGUGAAGUUAAUAGCUUCACCGAUUGACGUUACCCGCAGAAGAAGCACCGGCUAACUCCGUGCCAGCAGCCGCGGUAAUACGGAGGGUGCAAGCGUUAAUCGGAAUUACUGGGCGUUAAAGCGCACGCAGGCGGUCUGUCAAGUCGGAUGUGAAAUCCCCGGGCUUAACCUGGGAACUGCAUUCGAAACUGGCAGGCUAGAGUCUUGUAGAGGGGGUAGAAUUCCAGGUGUAGCGGUGAAAUGCGUAGAGAUCUGGAGGAAUACCGGUGGCGAAGGCGGCCCCCUGGGACAAAGACUGACGCGUCAGGUGCGAAAGCGUGGGGAGCAAACAGGAUUAGGAUACC
rnacentral:rRNA from 1 species